AAGGUGUGAAGGGAGGCAGUUUGAGGACAGAGUAUCCGUGAAGACCUGAGAGCACCGGAGCUUCUUCCCGACGUUCUCUUCGGAGCUGGACAGAGAGCGAGAGCUGAUGUAAGGAGAGGUGGAUGGCUGAGAGUCUGUAGGCACGUCUGAAAGAAGACACAAAAAAGGAAUCUCAUCCAUACGGAGGAACACGGUGUCAUUGGGACUCCGCUGGCCAUCAGAUUUGCUGCCUGUGUGAAGAAAGGUGCCAGUCAACGGUAGCCUUGAAGGUGUUGCGAAAUCCCGCGUGGGGAUGGAGCUGAGCUAGCCGAGCCAGUCCCAGGCGGGUGUGGGCGCUGGUGAGGGGGAGGGCGAUGCUGUGA